rnacentral:tRNA from 1 species
UCCCGUGUGGUCUAGUGGUUAGGAUUUUGGUUUUCACCCAGGCGGCCGGGGGUUCGAUUCCCCGCACGGGAG